rnacentral:tRNA from 1 species
GGCCCUGUUUCCUGCCUUCGAAGCAGUAGGUCGUAGGUUCGAAUCCUACUGGGGUCG